UUAGGAAUCUUCCACAAUGGGCGAAAGCCUGAUGGAGCGACGCCGCGUGAGGGAUGAAGGCCUUAGGGUUGUAAACCUCUAAAAGAGGGACGAUAAUGACGGUACCUCUUGAAUAGCACCGGCUAACUCCGUGCCAGCAGCCGCGGUAAUACGGAGGGUGCAAGCGUUAUCCGGAAUCACUGGGCGUAAAGGGCGCGUAGGCGGUCUGUUAAGUCCGAUGUUAAAUCCCGGGGCUCAACCCCGGAUAAGCGUUGGAUACUGGCAGGCUAGACGGUUGGAGAGGCGAGUGGAAUUACCAGUGUAGCGGUGGAAUGCGUAGAUACUGGUAGGAACACACAUCGCGAAGGCAGCUCGCUGGACAACACGUGACGCUGAGGCGCGAAAGUGUGGGGGGCAAAC
rnacentral:rRNA from 1 species